ncrna:unclassified sequences DTF3800-XI RNA
UGGGCUGGUCGUAAGACCCGGGUCCACCAAUCGGCGGGUAAGACACCC